rnacentral:sRNA from 1 species
GCCCUUUCCAUACUUUUCCGUCUAUAUA